rfam:Jeotgalibacillus malaysiensis strain D5, complete genome.
UCUAGUGAUGAUAGCGAAGAGGUCACACCCGUUCCCAUGCCGAACACGGAAGUUAAGCUCUUCAGCGCCGAUGGUAGUUGGGGGGUUCCCCCUGUGAGAGUAGGACGUCGCUAGGC